rnacentral:antisense_RNA from 1 species
GGAGGGUGCUGCACCGCUGUGUGGUGUAGUGAGGACGAGGGAACAGUGGAGCGCUCACCCCGAGCAGGGGCACCAGGGAGGGGCGGGGCCUCUGAGAAGGGUGGGGCCACAGCUGCAGCUCCUCGGCCACUGUCACAUGGGGUGCAGGCCCAGCAUGGCCAGAUUUUCUACUUUUCAAGUGAAGACAGGAAGCCCUAUUUAUCUACGGCGUUUCUGAAUUUCGAAAUGGAGACUACCUUUUAGGAUCAAAACCCAGUGUCCUUACAUCAGAGUCGAGUCAAUGCAAACAUGGAUGGGUUUGAUUUUCAUACUACAUCGCCUGGAAAACUUAGCUAUUAAAAGAGUUCUCGUAUAGCCGGGUGCAGUGGACUGAGUAUUGAAUGGCUCCUUCUUCCCUGGAACUGAAAUCAUUGUACAUUAUCAAGCCACCUGGAAACACACAGAUCAAACAAUUCCGACCAUUGUGUCAGCACACAGGCAUACAGGCUACCGCAUCCCACCUUGUCGUGUCAACAAGCGAGAGCUGUGUCUGCUCCCUGGUGCUGUGGCUGUCAGUGCUGGAGAGCACGGCCUGGACAG